ensembl:lncRNA
ACAGUCUACAGUCUAAUGUACACUAGCCUGACAGAUGAUUAUCUACAGUCUAAUGUACACUAGCCUGACAGAUGAUUGUCUACAGUCUAAUAUACACUAGUCUGACAGAUGAUUAUCUACAGUCUAAUGUACACUAGUCUGACAGAUGAUUAUCUACAGUCUAAUGUACACUAGCCUGACAGAUGAUUGUCUACAGUCUAAUGUACACUAGCCUGACAGAUGAUUGUCUACAGUCUAAUGUACACUAGUCUGACAGAUGAUUGUCUACAGUCUAAUGUACACUAGCCUGACAGAUGAUUGUCUACAGUCUAAUGUACACUAGUCUGACAGAUGAUUAUCUACAGUCUAAUGUACACUAGCCUGACAGAUGAUUAUCUACAGUCUAAUGUACACUAGCCUGACAGAUGAUUGUCUACAGUCUAAUGUACACUAGCCUGACAGAUGAUUAUCUACAGUCUAAUGUACACUAGCCUGACAGAUGAUUAUCUACAGUCUAAUGUACACUAGCCUGACAGAUGAUUAUCUACAGUCUAAUGUACACUAGUCUGACAGAUGAUUAUCUACAGUACUAGCCUGACAGAUGAUUAUCUACAGUCUAAUGUACACUAGCCUGACAGAUGAUUGUCUACAGUCUAAUGUACACUAGCCUGACAGAUGAUUAUCUACAGUCUAAUGUACACUAGCCUGACAGAUGAUUAUCUACAGUCUAAUGUACACUAGCCUGACAGAUGAUUGUCUACAGUCUAAUGUACACUAGUCUGACAGAUGAUUAUCUACAGUCUAAUGUACACUAGUCUGACAGAUGAUUAUCUACAGUCUAAUGUACACUAGCCUGACAGAUGAUUGUCUACAGUCUAAUGUACACUAGCCUGACAGAUGAUUAUCUACAGUCUAAUGUACACUAGUCUGACAGAUGAUUAUCUACAGUCUAAUGUACACUAGUCUGACAGAUGAUUAUCUACAGUCUAAUGUACACUAGUCUGACAGAUGAUUAUCUACAGUCUAAUGUACACUAGUCUGACAGAUGAUUGUCUACAGUCUAAUGUACACUAGUCUGACAGAUGAUUAUCUACAGUCUAAUGUACACUAGCCUGACAGAUGAUUAUCUACAGUCUAAUGUACACUAGUCUGACAGAUGAUUAUCUACAGUCUAAUGUACACUAGUCUGACAGAAGUACUUCAUCUUUGUGUCUUUCUUGUAAACACUAUAAUUUAACAUCAUGAAAAGUUCAAUGAAAGCAGCUAUUCAAAGUGAAUUACGAUAACAAAUCAAAGUAAAGCUGAUAUUCACUUAGUUGACAUUUCCCUUCAAAGAGCUGAGCAACCAACACAAUAUUUACAAGUCAAGAGACAAUCCAGACCAGCGUAACAACUUGAUUUCGAUAAACACACAGACAAAAAAAAAUUAAAUCCUGGUUUCUUUAUGAGCAUCCGUAUAGAACGAAGGAAAAAUUAAUUCCUGGACAAAAGAGAGAUUUGUCCAUAAUGUGACGUGUAUUGGUUGGUUGUAAAAUACUGUCUACAGCUUUUUUAUGUAGUUCCUACGAAAGUAUUAGAUAAGCAUUUAAGUAUAGGCUUAAAAGGAGGACGUUAACUGGAGAGCAUUAAAGUUCAGAUGGAAAGCAGGAGGGCAGAAUCAGUCAUUGAGCCACUGAAUACACUACAAAUGGAUUAGGAAGGCCGAGUCAAAAACAAAGCUAAAAUCAAAACCUUUUAAACUGAAAAAGGAAAGGUGGCAAAGUCCAGCUUUAUUUCACCUGAGCAUGUUAUAUACCCUGUACUACGACCACCUCCUCACCGGAAACGAAAGGGACUUUAUAAGACACUGAUUACAUUUUUAUUUCUUUACAAUGUAAUCACCACAGUGUUAGUUAUAAAUAGAUGUCUGUAAAGGAGCCCUCCUCCAUUAACCAUAGUGUUAGUCAUAAAUAUAUGUCUGUAAAGGAGCCCUACUCCAUUAACCAUAGUGUUAGUCAUAAAUACUUUAAUUUCCUCCUUCCUCAAUGGGUCACUUAUUUAAAAUUCCUAACAGUCAAGUGGAAAAACAACUUGGUGGAAGGAACCCUCUAUCAACCCUUUCAACCAUCUUUGAUGAGACGCAGCCUUUGGUUAGCAAUAGUGCUACUACAUUAUAGCUGGGAAUGUUCGCGGUGCCAUAGAUUUGGAAUUAAUUCAUUUUGUCCAGCAGCUGGUUAUGUAACGUCCAAUGUGUUUAAGAUGACAUGGGAGAGCGAGUACUUUGGUGUUUAUUCUCCAGGAGAGAGAGUUAAAAGAGGGAGAUAGGUAAAGAGAAGAAAGCCUUGGCCAGCUGGUUAGGUAGGAAGGGCGUAUCAAGCAGCUUGCAAGCUUAUUUGUUGUUGUGCUUAUUUUGAGAGCAGUGUUGUGUUACCAAAGUGUUCUAUACCGAGGUUUGAAAGGGGCCCCUCCCCGAGCUACAAUCCUGCACAUUGUUUGCUAUGCCUUCGCUCUCCCUCCACCUCUCCCUCCUUCUGCCCCCUCUCUCCC